UGGGGAAUAUUGCACAAUGGGCGCAAGCCUGAUGCAGCCAUGCCGCGUGUAUGAAGAAGGCCUUCGGGUUGUAAAGUACUUUCAGCGGGGAGGAAGGCGAUAAGGUUAAUAACCUUGUCGAUUGACGUUACCCGCAGAAGAAGCACCGGCUAACUCCGUGCCAGCAGCCGCGGUAAUACGGAGGGUGCCAGCGUUAAUCGGAAUUACUGGGCGUAAAGCGCACGCAGGCGGUCUGUCAAGUCGGAUGUGAAAUCCCCGGGCUCAACCUGGGAACUGCAUUCGAAACUGGCAGGCUAGAGUCUUGUAGAGGGGGGUAGAAUUCCAGGUGUAGCGGUGAAAUGCGUAGAGAUCUGGAGGAAUACCGGUGGCGAAGGCGGCCCCCUGGACAAAGACUGACGCUCAGGUGCGAAAGCGUGGGGAGCAAACA
rnacentral:rRNA from 1 species